GGGCGCUUAGCUCAGCGGUAGAGCGCCGCCCCGACACGGCGGAGGCCACUGGUUCGAACCCAGUAGCGCCCA
rnacentral:tRNA from 1 species